UACAGAGGUCUCAAGCGUUGUUCGGAUUCAUUGGGCGUAAAGGGUGCGUAGGCGGCGCGGUAAGUCGGGGUGUGAAAUCUUGGAGCUUAACUCCGAAACUGCAUUCGAUACUGCCGUGCUUGAGGACUGGAGAGGAGACUGGAAUUUACGGUGUAGCGGUGAAAUGCGUAGAUAUCGUAAGGAAGACCAGUGGCGAAGGCGGGUCUCUGGGGCCGGAAAUUGACGCUGAGGAGCGAAAGCGUGGGAGCAAACAGG
rnacentral:rRNA from 1 species